GGGUUGUGAGGUUAAGCGACUAAGCGUACACGGUGGAUGCCCUGGCAGUCAGAGGCGAUGAAGGACGUGCUAAUCUGCGAUAAGCGCCGGUAAGGUGAUAUGAACCGUUAUAACCGGCGAUUUCCGAAUGGGGAAACCCAGUGUGACUCGUCACACUAUCAUUAACUGAAUCCAUAGGUUAAUGAGGCGAACCGGGGGAACUGAAACAUCUAAGUACCCCGAGGAAAAGAAAUCAACCGAGAUUCCCCCAGUAGCGGCGAGCGAACGGGGAGGAGCCCAGAGCCUGAAUCAGCAUGUGUGUUAGUGGAAGCGUCUGGAAAGGCGCGCGAUACAGGGUGACAGCCCCGUACACAAAAGCGCAUGUGCUGUGAGCUCGAUGAGUAGGGCGGGACACGUGGUAUCCUGUCUGAAUAUGGGGGGACCAUCCUCCAAGGCUAAAUACUCCUGACUGACCGAUAGUGAACCAGUACCGUGAGGGAAAGGCGAAAAGAACCCCGGCGAGGGGAGUGAAAAAGAACCUGAAACCGUGUACGUACAAGCAGUGGGAGCCCCACCACUAAGCCAGUGGUGAACUCCACAUACGCAUCCUUUGCUGAGGAUACGGUUAACGGAGCGAAAGCGACGUUCAACCGCAAAAGAAGCAGAGGGGGCUUAGUGGUGGGGUGACUGCGUACCUUUUGUAUAAUGGGUCAGCGACUUAUAUUCUGUAGCAAGGUUAACCGAAUAGGGGAGCCGGAGGGAAACCGAGUCUUAAUUGGGCGUUAAGUUGCAGGGUAUAGACCCGAAACCCGGUGAUCUAGCCAUGGGCAGGUUGAAGGUUGGGUAACACUAACUGGAGGACCGAACCGACUAAUGUUGAAAAAUUAGCGGAUGACCUGUGGCUGGGGGUGAAAGGCCAAUCAAACCGGGAGAUAGCUGGUUCUCCCCGAAAGCUAUUUAGGUAGCGCCUCGUGAAUUCAUCUCCGGGGGUAGAGCACUGUUUCGGCUAGGGGGCCAUCCCGGCUUACCAACCCGAUGCAAACUGCGAAUACCGGAGAAUGUUAUCACGGGAGACACACGGCGGGUGCUAACGUCCGUCGUGAAGAGGGAAACAACCCAGACCGCCAGCUAAGGUCCCAAAGUCAUGGUUAAGUGGGAAACGAUGUGGGAAGGCCCAGACAGCCAGGAUGUUGGCUUAGAAGCAGCCAUCAUUUAAAGAAAGCGUAAUAGCUCACUGGUCGAGUCGGCCUGCGCGGAAGAUGUAACGGGGCUAAACCAUGCACCGAAGCUGCGGCAGCGACACUCAGGUGUUGUUGGGUAGGGGAGCGUUCUGUAAGCCUGUGAAGGUGGCCUGUGAGGGUUGCUGGAGGUAUCAGAAGUGCGAAUGCUGACAUAAGUAACGAUAAAGCGGGUGAAAAGCCCGCUCGCCGGAAGACCAAGGGUUCCUGUCCAACGUUAAUCGGGGCAGGGUGAGUCGACCCCUAAGGCGAGGCCGAAAGGCGUAGUCGAUGGGAAACGGGUUAAUAUUCCCGUACUUGGUGUUACUGCGAAGGGGGGACGGAGAAGGCUAUGUUGGCCGGGCGACGGUUGUCCCGGUUUAAGCGUGUAGGUGUGUGUUCCAGGUAAAUCCGGUUCACUUUAACACUGAGGCGUGAUGACGAGGCACUACGGUGCUGAAGCAACAAAUGCCCUGCUUCCAGGAAAAGCCUCUAAGCAUCAGGUAACAUCAAAUCGUACCCCAAACCGACACAGGUGGUCAGGUAGAGAAUACCAAGGCGCUUGAGAGAACUCGGGUGAAGGAACUAGGCAAAAUGGUGCCGUAACUUCGGGAGAAGGCACGCUGACAUGUAGGUGAAGUGAUUUACUCACGGAGCUGAAGUCAGUCGAAGAUACCAGCUGGCUGCAACUGUUUAUUAAAAACACAGCACUGUGCAAACACGAAAGUGGACGUAUACGGUGUGACGCCUGCCCGGUGCCGGAAGGUUAAUUGAUGGGGUCAGCGCAAGCGAAGCUCCUGAUCGAAGCCCCGGUAAACGGCGGCCGUAACUAUAACGGUCCUAAGGUAGCGAAAUUCCUUGUCGGGUAAGUUCCGACCUGCACGAAUGGCGUAAUGAUGGCCAGGCUGUCUCCACCCGAGACUCAGUGAAAUUGAACUCGCUGUGAAGAUGCAGUGUACCCGCGGCAAGACGGAAAGACCCCGUGAACCUUUACUAUAGCUUGACACUGAACAUUGAGCCUUGAUGUGUAGGAUAGGUGGGAGGCUUUGAAGUGUGGACGCCAGUCUGCAUGGAGCCGACCUUGAAAUACCACCCUUUAAUGUUUGAUGUUCUAACGUGGACCCGUGAUCCGGGUUGCGGACAGUGUCUGGUGGGUAGUUUGACUGGGGCGGUCUCCUCCUAAAGAGUAACGGAGGAGCACGAAGGUUGGCUAAUCCCUGGUCGGACAUCAGGAGGUUAGUGCAAUGGCAUAAGCCAGCUUGACUGCGAGCGUGACGGCGCGAGCAGGUGCGAAAGCAGGUCAUAGUGAUCCGGUGGUUCUGAAUGGAAGGGCCAUCGCUCAACGGAUAAAAGGUACUCCGGGGAUAACAGGCUGAUACCGCCCAAGAGUUCAUAUCGACGGCGGUGUUUGGCACCUCGAUGUCGGCUCAUCACAUCCUGGGGCUGAAGUAGGUCCCAAGGGUAUGGCUGUUCGCCAUUUAAAGUGGUACGCGAGCUGGGUUUAGAACGUCGUGAGACAGUUCGGUCCCUAUCUGCCGUGGGCGCUGGAGAACUGAGGGGGGCUGCUCCUAGUACGAGAGGACCGGAGUGGACGCAUCACUGGUGUUCGGGUUGUCAUGCCAAUGGCACUGCCCGGUAGCUAAAUGCGGAAGAGAUAAGUGCUGAAAGCAUCUAAGCACGAAACUUGCCCCGAGAUGAGUUCUCCCUGAGACUUUAAGUCUCCUGAAGGAACGUUGAAGACGACGACGUUGAUAGGCCGGGUGUGUAAGCGCAGCGAUGCGUUGAGCUAACCGGUACUAAUGAACCGUGAGGCUUAACCUUACAACGCCGAAG
rnacentral:rRNA from 1 species